AUUGAACGCUGGCGGCAGGCUUAACACAUGCAAGUCGAGCGCCCCGCAAGGGGAGCGGCAGACGGGUGAGUAACGCGUGGGAAUCUACCUAGCUCUACGGAAUAACUCAGGGAAACUUGUGCUAAUACCGUAUACGCCCUUCGGGGGAAAGAUUUAUCGGAGCUAGAUGAGCCCGCGUUGGAUUAGCUAGUUGGUGGGGUAAUGGCCUACCAAGGCGACGAUCCAUAGCUGGACUGAGAGGAUGAUCAGCCACACUGGGACUGAGACACGGCCCAGACUCCUACGGGAGGCAGCAGUGGGGAAUAUUGGACAAUGGGCGCAAGCCUGAUCCAGCCAUGCCGCGUGAGUGAUGAAGGCCCUAGGGUUGUAAAGCUCUUUCACCGGUGAAGAUAAUGACGGUAACCGGAGAAGAAGCCCCGGCUAACUUCGUGCCAGCCGCCGCCGUAA
rnacentral:rRNA from 1 species